UACGUAGGGGGCAAGCGUUUGUCCGGAAUCAUUGGGCGUAAAGAGCGUGUAGGCGGCUCGGUAAGUCCGCUGUGAAAGUCCAGGGCUCAACCCUGGAAUGCCGGUGGAAACUGUCGAGCUAGAGUCCGGAAGAGGCGAGUGGAAUUCCUGGUGUAGCGGUGGAAUGCGCAGAUAUCAGGAAGAACACCAACGGCGAAGGCAGCUCGCUGGGACGGUACUGACGCUGAGACGCGAAAGCGUGGGGAGCGAACAGG
rnacentral:rRNA from 1 species